rnacentral:rRNA from 1 species
UGGGGAGUACGGCCGCAAGGUUGAAGCUCAAAGGAAUCGACGGGGACCCGCACAAGCGGUGGAUGAUGUGGUUUAAUUCGAUGCAACGCGAAAAACCUUACCUACCUUUGACAUGUACGGAACUCGCCAGAGAUGGCUUGGUGCUCGAAAGAGAACCGUAACACAGGUGCUGCAUGGCUGUCGUCAGCUCGUGUCGUGAGAUGUUGGGUUAAGUCCCGCAACGAGCGCAACCCUUAUCAUUAGUUGCUACAUUUAGUUGGGAACUCUAAUGAGACUGCCGGUGACAAACCGGAGGAAGGUGGGGAUGACGUCAAGUCCUCAUGGCCCUUAUAGGUAGGGCUACACACGUCAUACAAUGGCUGGUACAAAGGGUUGCCAACCCGCGAGGGGGAGCUAAUCCCAUAAAGCCAGUCGUAGUCCGGAUCGUAGUCUGCAACUCGACUACGUGAAGUCGGAAUCGCUAGUAAUCGUGGAUCAGAAUGUCACGGUGAAUACGUUCCCGGGUCUUGUACACACCGCCCGUCACACCAUGGGAGCGGGUUCUGCCAGAAGUAGUUAGCCUAACCGCAAGGAGGGCGAUUACCACGGCAGGGUUCGUGACUGGGGUGAAGUCGUAACAAGGUAACC